GGUCAGGGAACAUCCUGAAGGUCAGGGGCAUUCCUGUCUGUCCCUAAUCCUGCCUGGCAGCUCUUGUCCUGCACUGGUACUUAGGGAGCAGAUGGUGACUGCUCUCCCACAUUCUGUACUGCCUUCCUGCAUUCACGUGUUUGGGCAAAUACUUAACACCUGUUUGUUUUUUGUUUUAAGAGGGGGAAAAAAGAACUACACACAAAACGUCUAGUGACAUUCUAGUUGGAGGGCUUGGAAAAUCAGGGCUCGAUUUCCUGCAAAGGUGGGAAGGUGGCUACUUCCUCCCCUGCUGGAGCUGUGGCUAGCCUGGGACUGCAUCUCGACCGUGUUUCUGUCUGUCCGUGUGUGUUCCCUGCCUGGGAACGGAGUCUGGGCUCCAACUGGCAGCUGCAAGUGGCUUACACCAGCGUAACACAGAGCCCAACUCCCCCCUCCGCCUCCCAGUAAGAACUUGGUGUUUCAGGCAGGCUGUGCAGGGUGGCUGCGUGCUGCCUGGGCUGCCUCUCUUGCAGCACAUCGCCCUUCCCACCAGCCCUCCAGCGGCCGAAAAUCCACCGCCUAGAGAAGCACCUUAACUGCAGUGUCGUGUUGGUCGUGUGUGCACUUUCAGGGAGCUCACAGGCGCGUGUGUGUGGUGGGAUCCUUUCCAAAUACUGCUUUAUUUUCCAAACCAUUGUCCCCAGCGGCUGCAUGUCUCAUCCAGGGAUAAUAUGUUUACUGUCCAUUUGUAAAAGACAUGUUUGCAUUGAUUUAUUUUUUUUAAAUUUGGUUGUUUUGUUUUGGUUUUUUUUUUGGUGAUUGAGUUAGAGUGGGGUGGUGAAGAUUGAAUGCUGAUUUUCUUUUCUGUUCACUUUAUUUAAUGAAGACCUGUGCUUGAAUGAAGAGUGUAGCUUAAACCCAGGCUCUGGAAAGGCUGCAUCCGGAAGCGAACAAGCACAACAGAUUGUGCAUAUGUAAUCUACCAUGGGAACAAAGUCGCUUAUACACUGAUUAUUGUGCAACGUGGCUCCCAGCAGCUUUGUCAUGGCGUUUUCCUUCUGCAGGUGACGACUCCUCCUGCUUUAGGAAACCUGUAACUACUAUUUAAUGCUUUUUCUUUUGUAAAUUUGAAUCAUCGUUGUGCAGACUAUGAGACUUGAAAUCCUGAGAUGAGCUCACGCAUUCCCCAUGUGCUCGUAGGCUGCUUGGUUGCGAUGUGCCCUGCGAGGAGCGAGCUGGUGCGAUGUGGGAGCGUCUGUGUGCUCAUGUGUCUGUCUGGCCGCAGCGUGUCUGGGAAGGGUGGCUGACCUGGGAGAGGGGGCAAAUGGUUUUCAGAGUUUAUUUAAUAAAGCAUCUUACUCCUAUAUAUUUUACUGAUGUUGUACAGGAAAAAGAAAAUCUUAAGUGUACAAAUGAAUUGGGCUGCGCUUGAAUUUUUGACUCUUCCUGUUUAAUGAAAUGUGAUUAUGAAGGGAGAUAAAUUUAAGUCGUGCUUGCACAAUAAUUGCAGGGAAUCUUAAAAUGGGGCACAACACUUAUCUACGGGACAUAUUCAAGUAGCAAAACUCUGCUAGCAACAUUGACAAAAAGUGGAGGUUGGAUGAUUUGCUUCCUAGUUAAGUGUUUGCAGGACCAGGGAGGAACUGGGCUGUUCCCUCAGGCUUUCAGCUGAGCUCUGGGUCCCCAUCCUGGAGCUGGUGUUGUCUCGUCUCUUUCCAUCAGCCCGGAGGACUGGGCCACCACUGGUGCUAUGAGAGGAUGUCUGAUCUUAAAUCUUAGGCUGUCACUUUCUCCCUGUGACACGCUGUCUGUCUGUUGUCUUACCGACCUGUGAGCUGCUGCCCUUUUGCAACAUGAAACACACCCUGGAAAACCCCUUUGUGAAAAUACAAACACAUGGAAGGAGGGCUUUCUCUCUGAAGUCCUGCAAAUACUUGUGCUGUAGGAGAAACGUGUUAAAAACUGGAACUGCUUCCUAUCUGCACUGGCUUGAUCUUUGGAGAGUCCUGGAUUUUUGGUGCCUUAAUUUGUUGCACCUUGAAACUAGAAAAACUGUCUCAUUCAAUCAGUGCUGGAAAGCAGGCUCGCUUGCCUCUAGCACUACCAGACUUGUGGCAGAGCAAGGAAGGUUCAGACCUGAUCUCGCUGCACGUACGACCCUUCCCAGCUCGUGCUACUGUGAAGCUGGAGGCUUCCGUUUGGGCUGUUAAAUUGAAGUGAUUUUGCUCCAGAUUCUGGUAGGGGAAUGGAAACAAUGACCAAACCUUCUUGCCGUGGUGGGGUGUGGUGUGCUGAGAAACAAACAAUUAAUCAGAAUGGUUUGAAGUCUUAAGAAUAAACGUAUUCCUUGCUGAGAGCAUCUGGUGGUAAUCAUGUUACAGUGGAGCAUGCUGGCUCGACUCUCAUUGCGGUGAGAUGUGCUCCUUGGGAUGGGGUAGGGUUGUGCGCUUGCUCCUCUGCUCCUGCUCAGUAUUUGAGAGCUGAUUGGUGGUGUCUCUUCUUCCAGGGAUAUCUGCUUCCAGGGACAGUGUGAGUCCUAUUUUCUUAAUUGCUGAUGGACCUGCUGAGUUGGUAACAGGACUGUCUUAUGCUUUCCUAAAUCUCUUCUGCAUGCUUUAUCUCAAGACACAGUAUGACCAGGAAGAAGCCUGUUCAGGGAGGGCUGCAGUCCUUGGAGAUGUCAGUCUCCGGACAGGUCCUUGUGCUGUGGGAGGAGGUGGCCAGUGCCGCCAGCUCCUCCUCAUCCUCACCAUGCUUUGCUCUGAAGCAGGUUUUUGUGGGAGCCUGGGAUGCGCCAAGGUGUCAACACAGGGCUUGCGUAGCUGAGGCGGAGCAGGAAUCUCACUUGCAGCCUUUAUCAUCUUGGUCUUGUGUUUCCUAUCACAGCUCCUGCCUCUGCACUGAUCCAGGAACCCAGUGCAGGAGCUCACAAGUAGAGCUGGGGUGGAGGGUGAGGUGCAGGUUUUGGGACCUCCUGGGCUUUGGGCCAUCUAAAGGUGAUGUUUUACAAAUACAGAUGCUGUGGCUGACCAGGCCUACAAACAAGGACCUACGUGCUGUUGGUUUUAGCUUGGCUCUUCCUCCAGUGUGACUGUGCUCCAGUUACCUCCUCUCUUUGGCGGCUGGUCACUGCAGGGGCUUGGCAGAAGCCUCUCCUCUUGUAAACAUCAGCCACCUGCUAGAGGCAGCUUUGCCAGAGCUGGGGGAUCCCCAUGUUGUAAGCAUGAGCUUCUCAGGCUCUGGAAACACUUAUUUAAAUGGAGCUGGACCAGCAUUACCUCCCAGGUGUACUCGUACCUGUAGGCUGCACUUUGGGAGCUGUUUUAAUCUCACUUAGGUCAGUUGUAACAAGGCCCUGUAAAUGCAGGACAGGGACCAUCUCUGCAACUCAGCUCUGGGGCCCCAACAUAAGAAGGACGUGGAGCUGUUGGAGCGAGUCCACUCCGAACCAUUCUGUGAACCCUUCAGAGCAUCUUCCAGGGCCCAUGUCCAUGUGGCUGUUCAGUUUUCCUGGGCAAGGUGUGGGAGCAGUUAGUGAUGCUGCCUCGUCCUUCCAGAAGCAAGUUUGGAGGCACCACCUGGGCUCGGUUUUCUGUCACCAAGCCCCCGUGCAGCCCCUGUUGCAGCAGCUGCUCUCAAGGUCCCAGUGCUGUGAAAUGAGUCAGGGAAAGACGCUUUGGUGCUUGUGGUGGUUUGGUUCUGUCCCUUCCCUGCUGAGCCUUCCCAAGGAGCUGCUGUCGGCAGGAGCCUGGAUACUCUGCUGCACUCCCCACUGGAGCCAAGUGUGCUUGGUCCCUCUUGUCUGGGGUUGUCCCAAAACAGGAAUCGGAUGAAGCUGCCGUGGGCCCUGGGACCCCGAUUGCUGUCCUGGAGCCCUGUCUCUGGGAGUUUAGGUACUGCAGUGGGUUUAAAUUCUGGUCUGUUAAAUGCUAUUGCUGAAGUAUUUAUUGUGUUUAAACAAAACAAAACAACCUAUUCAAAUUCUGUAAA
rnacentral:lncRNA from 1 species